UACAGAGGUCCCGAGCGUUGUUCGGAUUCAUUGGGCGUAAAGGGUGCGUAGGCGGGGGAGUAAGUUUGAUGUGAGAUUCCAGGGCUCAACCUUGGGACUGCAUUGAAUACUGCUUUCCUAGAGUACUGGAGAGGAAACUGGAAUUUACGGUGUAGCAGUGAAAUGCGUAGAGAUCGUAAGGAAGACCAGUGGCGAAGGCGAGCUUCUGGACAGUUACUGACGCUGAGGCACGAAGGCCAGGGGAGCAAACGGG
rnacentral:rRNA from 1 species